GGAUGUGAGGGAGAUCUGGCUGCAACAUGUCACCCCCAUUGAUCGACAGGGUUGAUUAGGCUGAUCUAGCUGGUUAGGCGGGUCCAAUUUCCUGCCUCACCAGUCCAUGCGCAUCCCUCACAAGCUGUGUGCUUAUGGAAGAGGACUGCCUGCCCCGAAUAGAGACUCUGGUCUUUCGGUCUAGGGUAUACUAGUAGCCGUGCUCCCUGCUAGAACCUCCAAACAAAGUCUCCAUAAUAAGUGAUGCAGAAGAAAAAAGACUCAUAAAAAUAAUUAAAAG
ensembl:misc_RNA 7SK 7SK RNA